UAAGGAAUAUUGGUCAAUGGACGCAAGUCUGAACCAGCCAUGCCGCGUGAAGGAUGAAGGUCCUCUGGAUUGUAAACUUCUUUUAUCUGGGACGAAAACGGGAUUUUUAUCUCAAUUGACGGUACCAGAGGAAUAAGCACCGGCUAACUCCGUGCCAGCAGCCGCGGUAAUACGGAGGGUGCGAGCGUUAUCCGGAUUUACUGGGUUUAAAGGGUGCGUAGGUGGGCUUAUAAGUCAGUGGUGAAAGCUCCGAGCUUAACUUGGAAACUGCCGUUGAUACUAUAGGUCUUGAAUUAUCUGGAGGUAAGCGGAAUAUGUCAUGUAGCGGUGAAAUGCUUAGAUAUGACAUAGAACACCAACUGCGAAGGCAGCUUACUACAUAUAAAUUGACGCUGAGGCACGAAAGCGUGGGGAUCAAACA
rnacentral:rRNA from 1 species